rnacentral:rRNA from 1 species
GACGUAGGGCGCGAGCGUUGUCCGGAUUUAUUGGGCGUAAAGAGCUCGUAGGCGGUUUGUCGCGUCUGCUGUGAAAACCCGAGGCUCAACCUCGGGCCUGCAGUGGGUACGGGCAGACUAGAGUGCGGUAGGGGAGAUUGGAACUCCUGGUGUAGCGGUGGAAUGCGCAGAUAUCAGGAAGAACACCGAUGGCGAAGGCAGAUCUCUGGGCCGUAACUGACGCUGAGGAGCGAAAGCGUGGGGAGCGAACAGG